AUCCACAUGACGAGUCCCAAAUAGGACGAAACGCGUGUCCUGGAU
rnacentral:hammerhead_ribozyme from 1 species